rnacentral:rRNA from 1 species
GAUGAACGCUGACAGAAUGCUUAACACAUGCAGGUCUACUUGAAUUUGGGUUUUUUAACUUAGAUUUGGGUGGCGGACGGGUGAGUAACGCGUAAAGAACUUGCCUCACAGCUAGGGACAACAUUUGGAAACGAAUGCUAAUACCUGAUAUUAUGAUUAUAAGGCAUCUUAGAAUUAUGAAAGCUAUAUGCGCUGUGAGAGAGCUUUGCGUCCCAUUAGCUAGUUGGAGAGGUAACGGCUCACCAAGGCGAUGAUGGGUAGCCGGCCUGAGAGGGUGAACGGCCACAAGGGGACUGAGACACGGCCCUUACUCCUACGGGAGGCAGCAGUGGGGAAUAUUGGACAAUGGACCAAGAGUCUGAUCCAGCAAUUCUGUGUGCACGAUGAAGUUUUUCGGAAUGUAAAGUGCUUUCAGUUGGGAAGAAAAAAAUGACGGUACCAACAGAAGAAGUGACGGCUAAAUACGUG